rnacentral:rRNA from 1 species
AGUGAACGCUGGCGGUAGGCCUAACACAUGCAAGUCGAACGGCAGCACAGUAAGAGCUUGCUCUUACGGGUGGCGAGUGGCGGACGGGUGAGGAAUACAUCGGAAUCUACUUUUUCGUGGGGGAUAACGUAGGGAAACUUACGCUAAUACCGCAUACGACCUACGGGUGAAAGCAGGGGAUCUUCGGACCUUGCGCGACUGAAUGAGCCGAUGUCGGAUUAGCUAGUUGGCGGGGUAAAGGCCCACCAAGGCGACGAUCCGUAGCUGGUCUGAGAGGAUGAUCAGCCACACUGGAACUGAGACACGGUCCAGACUCCUACGGGAGGCAGCAGUAGGGAAUAUUGGACAAAGGGCGCAAGCCUGAUCCAGCCAUACCGCGUGGGUGAAGAAGGCCUUCGGGUUGUAAAGCCCUUUUGUUGGGAAAGAAAAGCAGCAGGUUAAUACCCCGCUGUUCUGACGGUACCCAAAGAAUAAGCACCGGCUAACUUCGUG